UUAGCCCUAAACACAGAUAAUUAUAUCAACAAAAUUAUUCGCCAGGGUACUAUCGGCAACAGCCUAAAACUCAAAGGACUUGGCGGUGCUUUAUAUCCCUCUAGAGGAGCCUGUUCUAUAAUUGAUAAACCCCGAUAAACCUCACCAAUUCUUGCUAAUACAGUCUAUAUACCGCCAUCUUCAGCAAACCCUAAAAAGGUAUAAAAGUAAGCACAAUCACAAUACAUAAAAACGUUAGGUCAAGGUGUAACCUAUGAAAUGGGAAGAAAUGGGCUACAUUUUCUAUAUCAAGAACACCCAAUACGAAAGUUAUUAUGAAAUUAAUAGCCAAAGGAGGAUUUAGCAGUAAACUAAGAAUAGAGUGCUUAGUUGAACCAGGCCAUGAGGCACGC
rnacentral:rRNA from 1 species